rnacentral:lncRNA from 1 species
UUCUUCUUCACAUCUGCACUGAAAGAUCUUCUUGGAAAAGAGACUUAGCCCUGUAAACAUGAGAUUGAAGAGCACUCUAUGGAAUGCCGUCAUGGAGAAAGCUGCAUCCUUAAUGUUUAUCCUCGAGAAAGAAACUCUGACAGCAGAUAUCCUUCAGACUGUAGAAGGGAUUGCUGCGAUUCUGCGACUAUCUGCUUUGUGCAUAGUUCAUUGUUCUCCCCCAAGAAGUUCUACCAGUAUGGAUCAUAAAGUAACUCAUCCGUGUAACUCUGACAAAUGUAAGAGUACUCCGAGCUCCUCAGAUUCAGUGGUGAAUAUUCAGUUCACAUGGAUUUCCUCUGAUUUUAUCACAAGAGUAGUGAGAGUCUGCAGAAAUCUGUUAGAGGCUGCUAUGCAGAUUGCUAACCUAGAGCAAGUGAUUGACA